GUUCUCGUAGCGCAGUGGUUAGCAUCUGAGGUUCUUAGCAUUUGAUUUUCUGAAUUUUCCCAGCGAACACCUAAGAUAGCGGAAGACCUCGGUUUCAAUCCGACCGAGGACA